CCGGUCCUCGCCCCUCUGGACCGGUAUUCCUCAGCCUACUCCUGGAAAGGAUUUCUCAGGACGCAGGGGUCCUGGCUAGAAUCCCUCGGGGUGGGUGGACCAGUGGGGGUCGUGGCGAUGCUGUCCAGGAUGAGGUCCAGCUACGGUUGCCGUCCUGUCUGUCAGCACCAGCACCCAGCACAUCUGUAGGGCCUGGGCCCCAGACCCAGCCUGAGGGUUAUGAGGAGGUUUCCUGAAGGAGAAAAGCCAGAGUGGAGUCUGGAAUGGAGCAGGGCGGACCAUGGCCUGCCCGCAGUCUGCUAGGUGGGGCUGGAACCUGGGGUUUUGCUUGGGUGUGAGGAAGGAAGAGGCUGGGGAUGCAGCUAGGUGCUGGUUCCUCAUAGACUGAGUCAUGAUUUAUGGGGACCCUCAAUUAUAUCCCCUUAGCAGGGGCCACAAAGUCUCAAAUCUGCCCGGAAAUCCAUACCUCGGAGCUCAGGUGAGGUCUUCUUCAGGUUCUCCUUCUGCAGUGCAGAUACUGUCAGAAAGAGCAAGCUACAAAUGGAGAAGUCAACAACACUCUAGUGAGAAUUACCCUGCCAAUUAAUUUUCUCAGAAAUCGGGGACUCAGGGACCGUUUGCUGCCGAGGCUGCCACCUCAGCUGCCUGUCUGUGAAAUGGGUCCAUGUGUCCCCAUGUCUUGGCCCGUCUCCUCUUCCCUACAGGCUGCUGUGCAGCCUGGGGCCCCUUCCAGGCCACCUUCUCCAUCUGCUCACUGAGGAGGGACCCCUGAGGAAGCGAGGCUCCAGCUUGGCUGCACCCAGCUGAAAGGUUAUCCUGUUGAUACCCCACCACUUAUGGAAUGAUGGACCUUUUCCCCACCGGAUUAGAAUGUCCUUUUUGUGUAUCAUCGACCCUGAACAACACGAGUUUGAGCCGCGCGGGUGCACUUCUAAGUGGAUUUUCUUCCUCCUCUGUCACCCGAGACAGUAAGAGCCACCCCUCCUCCUCCCCAGCUGACUCAGCGUGAAGAUGAUGAGGAUGAAGACCUUUACAAUGGUCUGCUUAUGCUGAAUGAAUAUCUUUUCUCUUCCU